AAAAUUGACUUUUGUUACCUGAUAUGGAAAUUAAAACACAAAAGUCAAUUUUGUGAGACAAGAUUCAACUUUUUGUCAAUUUUGUCUCACAAAAGUCAAUUUUGUGAGGACACAAUUGACUUUUGUGUUUUAAUUUCCAUAUCAGGU
rnacentral:sRNA from 1 species